UGAAGCAAACUCUCAAAUUCUCCAACUUCCCAAUCCUGCAAAUUUCUUGAUACAUUGAUAGACCACUCAGCAACAUCAUUACAGAUUCUGUAGGCAUCCUGCACCAACAUAUUCUGAUUCUGUGAAAUUGCAAAUAUUCUAGGGAAUCUCCUCAUUAAGUACUCAUUGUCGAUCCAUACAUCCUUCCAGAAUCUUAUGCUAUUUCCCCUCCCAAGUUUCAAUUGCAGAUUACACCGAAAGAGUGGCCACUGCAUCAUAAUUUUCCUCCAUAAAC
rnacentral:lncRNA from 1 species